rnacentral:rRNA from 1 species
AGUGAACGCUGGCGGUAGGCCUAACACAUGCAAGUCGAACGGCAGCACAGUAAGAGCUUGCUCUUACGGGUGGCGAGUGGCGGACGGGUGAGGAAUACAUCGGAAUCUACUUUUUCGUGGGGGAUAACGUAGGGAAACUUACGCUAAUACCGCAUACGACCUACGGGUGAAAGCAGGGGAUCUUCGGACCUUGCGCGAUUGAAUGAGCCGAUGUCGGAUUAGCUAGUUGGCGGGGUAAAGGCCCACCAAGGCGACGAUCCGUAGCUGGUCUGAGAGGAGGAGCAGAGAGACGGGAAAGGAGAAAAGGUCCAGACGCCUACGGGAGGCAGCAGGGGGGAAUAGUGGAGAAUGGGAGAAAGCAUGAUACAGUCAUAGGGCGUGUGAGAAAAAGGGCUCAGGGGUGGAAAGAACGUCGGGGGGGAAAGAAAAGCAGCAGGGUAAGACCGAGCGGGUGGGACGGUAACAAGAGAAGAAGGACCGGCUAACGUCGUG